rnacentral:rRNA from 1 species
UACGUAGGGUGCAAGCGUUGUCCGGAAUUAUUGGGCGUAAAGAGCUCGUAGGCGGCUUGUCGCGUCGACUGUGAAAACCUGGGGCUUAACUCCGGGCCUGCAGUCGAUACGGGCAAGCUAGAGUUCGGUAGGGGAGACUGGAAUUCCUGGUGUAGCGGUGAAAUGCGCAGAUAUCAGGAGGAACACCUGUGGUGUAGACGGCUCUCUGGACAGUAACUGACGCUGAGACACGAAAGCGUGGGUAGCAAACAGG